GUCGAACGAACUCUGGUAUUGAUUGGUGCUUGCAUCAUGAUUUACAUUUGAGUGAGUGGCGAACUGGUGAGUAACACGUGGGAAACCUGCCCAGAAGCGGGGGAUAACACCUGGAAACAGAUGCUAAUACCGCAUAACAACUUGGACCGCAUGGUCCGAGUUUGAAAGAUGGCUUCGGCUAUCACUUUUGGAUGGUCCCGCGGCGUAUUAGCUAGAUGGUGGGGUAACGGCUCACCAUGGCAAUGAUACGUAGCCGACCUGAGAGGGUAAUCGGCCACAUUGGGACUGAGACACGGCCCAAACUCCUACGGGAGGCAGCAGUAGGGAAUCUUCCACAAUGGACGAAAGUCUGAUGGAGCAACGCCGCGUGAGUGAAGAAGGGUUUCGGCUCGUAAAACUCUGUUGUUAAAGAAGAACAUAUCUGAGAGUAACUGUUCAGGUAUUGACGGUAUUUAACCAGAAAGCCACGGCUAACUACGUGCCAGCAGCCGCGGUAAUACGUAGGUGGCAAGCGUUGUCCGGAUUUAUUGGGCGUAAAGCGAGCGCAGGCGGUUUUUUAAGUCUGAUGUGAAAGCCUUCGGCUCAACCGAAGAAGUGCAUCGGAAACUGGGAAACUUGAGUGCAGAAGAGGACAGUGGAACUCCAUGUGUAGCGGUGAAAUGCGUAGAUAUAUGGAAGAACACCAGUGGCGAAGGCGGCUGUCUGGUCUGUAACUGACGCUGAGGCUCGAAAGUAUGGGUAGCAAACAGGAUUAGAUACCCUGGUAGUCCAUACCGUAAACGAUGAAUGCUAAGUGUUGGAGGGUUUCCGCCCUUCAGUGCUGCAGCUAACGCAUUAAGCAUUCCGCCUGGGGAGUACGGCCGCAAGGCUGAAACUCAAAGGAAUUGACGGGGGCCCGCACAAGCGGUGGAGCAUGUGGUUUAAUUCGAAGCUACGCGAAGAACCUUACCAGGUCUUGACAUACUAUGCAAAUCUAAGAGAUUAGACGUUCCCUUCGGGGACAUGGAUACAGGUGGUGCAUGGUUGUCGUCAGCUCGUGUCGUGAGAUGUUGGGUUAAGUCCCGCAACGAGCGCAACCCUUAUUAUCAGUUGCCAGCAUUAAGUUGGGCACUCUGGUGAGACUGCCGGUGACAAACCGGAGGAAGGUGGGGAUGACGUCAAAUCAUCAUGCCCCUUAUGACCUGGGCUACACACGUGCUACAAUGGAUGGUACAACGAGUUGCGAACUCGCGAGAGUAAGCUAAUCUCUUAAAGCCAUUCUCAGUUCGGAUUGUAGGCUGCAACUCGCCUACAUGAAGUCGGAAUC
rnacentral:rRNA from 1 species